GCGGGGAACUCCUAGCUCCGGUGAGCAAUUGCGGCAGAGUGGUGUGGGGGAAAAGAGAGAGGGGGAGGUCCCUUUUAUAGUGACGCGGGAGGGGUGCUUAAUGGCGGCUCUAAAUCGCGAAAUGAAGGCGGGGAUGUAAUGGCGGCCGGUGCUAGAUUCCCGGUCGAAGGGUUGAAGACGACUGACAGGUGGGCCCCACCUGUCAGCGACUGUUCGACAAGGGGCGGCGGCGCUGGGCUGGGCCGGCUGCUGGGCUGGCUCGCCCAAGUUGGCCGGGCCAGUCCGGUUUUAUUUUUUUUGUUCUUUUUCUAUUUUUCCUUUAUAUCUUUUGAUUUUCAACUCCAAAUGACCUCAAAUAAAUUCCAGAAAAUUUGUAAAAUCAUAUCCUUUAAUGCCAAAGCAUCUGGGACUUGAUUCCCUCCAAAAUCAAAUUAUUUAAAAAUAGUUUUUGUUAAAUAGUUGCCUCUAGUGCAAUAAUAUUUAGAAAUAAAAUAGUUUUUCACCUCCAAAAUAAAUUCCAAAAAUUACGGGGUAGUUUAUCUUAUUGCAUUAAACCCCUUUCUAUUGACAAAACUCUAUGGGUUAAAGAAUUCCAAAAAGUAGCAAGGGAGAUUAAAAGGCAAAAGCUUAAUAAAAUAUUUUAAAUUUUAAAGCCUUGGUUUAAAAGUGUUCAAAGUGUAUAAAUGGCAUGAUGCUCAUGAGUGCAAAUGCAUAAUGCAAAGUUUGGGAAAAAUUGGGAUGUUACACUCUAAAACCUCAUUGAGGGUUAGAGAGUCAUGGCUGUAAAGAAUUUAAUCGCGGAAAUUUGUAUAGGAACUAGGCAACGAGCAUAAGAGU
rnacentral:lncRNA from 1 species